rnacentral:lncRNA from 1 species
GCAGUGAGAAUCAGCACGAUCUUCGAGAAAGUGCUCGCAAUUCUUGGAAGAGUAAGAUAUUCAAUCAGGUUGUUAAAAAUGUAUCAGGAGGAAUUAAUCAGUGUAUAUUAUUUAUGUAUUUGAUUUGUUUUAUAAAUUAAAUUAUCUUCGAAAUGAUAAAAAGUUUAAAUACACACACGCACCACGCAGGUUUAGGUGUCUCCUAUGUACGCAUCAUAGAAAUCAACAACUGACUUAUCUUUGUAUGUCUAUUCCACGCUUAGAAAUUACGUUUAGUUUGUGCCAAAUUCUUAAAAUAACUUAUGAAGGAAUUCAUCUAAGAUAAGACCGGACAAUAAGUAAUCAAAACUACUUGUACAAACUUGUGAUUGCAUGAAUUAUUCUACCAAAUUAUCCACUAUUCGAGUGGCGCGAUUGAAUGUUUUAAUUUGUAAAUAAUACACAAAACAUUUUUAAAAAUAUUUUUGUAAUUUGUAAAACGUUCAGAAAGCAGACUGCGUCAAUUGAAAAAUCAUUAAAUCAUACGUAUAGUUAGUAGCAUAUGCGUUAUGUUCAUUAUUAUGCACGUCAUAAAUGCAACAUUGUAGUUACUAUGACGUCGCACAAAAUCCUAGGCGAUGUCUUUAAGAUCACAAAAUAUAUUAACCCCGGGUCAUUCGAAUGAGCAUUGAAAUACUCUCUAAAAUCGUGAAAUAGUUUGAAAGGUUGUGAAUAAACUAGAACAGUGUUUGUAGUUAAACCAGUUUCAAGGAUGUAUAUUGUCUCAAAGAACCUAAAUACAAGAAUCUACUAAUUAUCUGACUCUAAAGCUAAGCUGAUAAUUCUACGGACUCGCGACUCUGACUGUCCUCCGGAGCGGCGGUGAUGCUGCAAGACCUCUGCUGCUGGCGUUGAGGGCGUGACCUUGAAUGAAGGGAUGUAGUUUUGACAAAUCAGAGCGACUCCGCGCGGACUUACAGAACUACGAGCUCGAAUCAGCGUCGGUCCGCUGGGCCUAUGUGAUGGUGGAAAAUUCGGAAAGCGGGCGAGCACGUGAUGACGCACUUCGCGCACACGUGUUGACCACCCUAACUCUCAGUCCUCAGUUUUUAUGGAGCUUUCCACAAUUGCGGAACCGACACUCGUAACUGUGAUCCGUGGACGAGAAAUUGUAUUGUUGCCAACUUAAUUUCAUUAUAUGAUCGUGGAUUGUGUGACUGUCACAAACGCACCAUGACGACCGAGUAAAAAACUAUAGAAAGUCGUCUGCUGAGAUUUCACACAUAACCCAAAAGUUGUUUAAAUUCGGUAAACACUGCCAGAAAUCAUUGAGAUAAAGUGUAAUUGUUAGAUAAAUUAGAAAGAAAAAUUUGAAAAGCUCAGUUAUGGACGUAGAUAAUCGACUACAAAUUGUAAUUGUUUGGAUAAAUAUUUUAAACUUUAUUCAAUCUGUGAUUGAUACUCUUGAUGCAGACGAUGGUGGACAAAACCUGACAUCACAGAGCAGCAACGCUUAAAUUUUGGUGAUUUCUCAACAAUAUUUAUGUAUAUGAAGAACAAUGACCAUGAGAAACUGUAUGAUUUUAUUGGUAUGUCGUUGGAGCAAUUUAACUAUUUAUACGCUCUUGUUGAAAAUAGACUGGAAAAACAAAGUCGACGUACACCUCUGCCAGCAGAGUUAAGAUUAGCUGCAACCUUAUACUAUUUGCGCAAUGGUGGCAGUAUAUGAAUGUGUGCAUCUGUUUUUUGUAUAGGCACUUCAACAAUGUAUCAGAAGUUUGUCAUGCUCUGUUUGAAACAUUAAAACCAAUAUAUAUUCCUUUGCCAGAUGCGAAUGAGUUCAGAAUUAUUGCAGAUAACUUCAAAGAAAAAUGGAAUUUUCCAAGUUGUGUUGGAGCUGUAGAUGGGCGUCACUUCAGCAUCGAAACUCCUCCCAAUUCAGGAACAUUCUUUUUCAAUUAUAAAAAAUUUACUAGUUUCGUUUUGAUGUCAGAGUGUGAUGCUUUUCUAAGGUUUACGUGGCUGAAUGUUGGUGAUUACAGAUCUCUAAACGAUGCUUCAAUUUUCAAUGAAAGUGAUUUAGGAGAAGCUUGGAGAAUCAAAACAUUAAUUUACCACCUGAUGAACGUCUUCCUCUCAUCAAUAUAAGUGUUCCUUAUUUUUUCAUUGGAGACGGAGGCUUUGCUCUGAAAAAGUAUUUCAUAACGCCAUUUACAAGAUUAAACAAUUUAAGUAUUGAUCGAAGGAUUUUUAAUUAUUGUCUCUCAAGGGCUCAACGAACAUUUGAGAGUGCUUUUGGAUUGUUAGUAAACAAGUGGAAAAUUUUUAACUCACCUUUAGCUUGGAAAUUUCAAAACAUUGACAUAAUUAUAUGUGCAUGUGCAUGUUUACACAAUUUCCUGAUCAGCUGUGAUAUGCAAAAUGAAGGUAAUAGAAGAAAUGCUAAUAAUAUGUGUGAAGAUGAAGGUGUACUUAAUGCUUAAGAUUAUGUUAAUCAAGAUGUAGAAAUCAAUGAAGAUGAUUUGAAUGGAAUACGACUGAGAAACAUUUUAAAAGAUUACUUCGCUUCUCCCCUAGGAAGUGUACCAUGGCAGUGGAACAAAAUAUAAUAAUUUUACAGAUUAUAUUACAGAAUUAUACUUAUUUUUACAGACUAGACAUAUGUUUGUCAUUUAUUUUUUUCUUAUUACUGUAUUAAUACAAAAUUUUUUAAUAAAAUUUUUCUAUAACAAAAAGAAGUAAAAAAUAAA